UCCCUGGUGGCUCAGAUGGUAAAGAAUCUGCCUGCAAAGCAGGAGACCCAGGUUUGAUCCCUGGGUUGGUGAG
rnacentral:tRNA from 1 species